UACGUAGGGUGCAAGCGUUAAUCGGAAUUACUGGGCGUAAAGCGUGCGCAGGCGGUUGUGCAAGACAGAUGUGAAAUCCCCGGGCUCAACCUGGGAAUUGCAUUUGUGACUGCACGGCUAGAGUGUGUCAGAGGGGGUAGAAUUCCACGUGUGAGCAGUGAAAUGCGUAGAGAUGUGGAGGAAUACCGAUGGCGAAGGCAGCCCCCUGGGAUAACACUGACGCUCAUGCACGAAAGCGUGGGGAGCAAACAG
rnacentral:rRNA from 1 species